AGUGCCGUUGAUACUGUGAGGCUAGGAUUUGGUUGCUGUGGGUGGAAUGUGUGGUGUAGCGGUGAAAUGCUUAGAGAUCACACAGAAUAUCGAUUGCGAAGGCAGCUCACAAAGCCAAGAUUGACGCUGAGGCACGAAAGUGUGGGGAUCAAACAGGAUUAGAUACCCUGGUAGUCCACACUGUAAACGAUGAUAUCUCGCUGUCGGCGAUAUACAGUCGGUGGCCAAGCGAAAGCGAUAAUUUAUGCGCGUGGGGGAGUACGACCGCAAGGUUGAAACUCAAAGGAAUUGACGGGGGGCCCGCACAAGCGGAACGAACAUGUGGUUUAAUUCGAUGAUACGCGAGGAACCCUCACCCGGGCUCGAACGGGUGCAGGAAUAUGGUAAUAGAUAUCAUAGCUAGCAAUAGUCUGUAUCGAGGGUGCUGCAUGGUUGUCGUCACCUCGUGCCCGUGUGGCGUCGGCUGAGCUGCCCACAACGAACACCACUCUUGUCAUUUACCUAUCAUCACGGUCAAGCCUGAGGACUACUAAAUGAUACUGCCACCAGUGGGGUGAGGAAGGAGGGGGGGAUGAUGACGUCAAAAUUCAGGCCCGCCUCUUUAUCGUGCGGAGACCCACAGAGGUUGUUUACCAUUGGUGUGUUACAGAGCAGUCUUCUAUGCCGGCCGACGGAACCCCCAUUCUUAAAAACCCUCUUUCCCUAUUUCGAGAUGUGAGUUCUGCGACCCCC
rnacentral:rRNA from 1 species